AGUGAACGCUGGCGGCAGGCCUAACCCAUGCAAGUCGAACGGUAGCACAGAGGAGCUUGCUCCUUGGGUGACGAGUGGCGGACGGGUGAGGAAUAUAUCGGAAUCUACCCAAUCGUGGGGGAUAACGUAGGGAAACUUACGCUAAUACCGCAUACGAUCUGAGGAUGACAGCGGCGGACCGCAAGGCGUCGCGCGAUUGGAUGAGCCGAUAUCCGAUUAGCUAGUUGGUGAGGUAAUGGCCCCCCAAGGCAACGAUCGGUAGCUGGUCUGAGAGGAUGAUCAGCCCCCCUGGAACUGAGACCCGGUCCAGACUCCUACGGGAGGCAGCAGUGGGGAAUAUUGGACAAUGGGCGCAAGCCU
rnacentral:rRNA from 1 species